rnacentral:rRNA from 2 species
UGCAGUCGAGCGAACUUUUGGGACUUUGCUUCCUAAAAGAUUAGCGGCGGACGGGUGAGUAACACGUGGGCAACCUGCCUGUAAGACUGGGAUAACUCCGGGAAACCGGGGCUAAUACCGGAUAAUUCAUUCCCUCUCAUGAGGGAAUGCUGAAAGACGGUUUCGGCUGUCACUUACAGAUGGGCCCGCGGCGCAUUAGCUAGUUGGUGAGGUAACGGCUCACCAAGGCCACGAUGCGUAGCCGACCUGAGAGGGUGAUCGGCCACACUGGGACUGAGACACGGCCCAGACUCCUACGGGAGGCAGCAGUAGGGAAUCUUCCGCAAUGGACGAAAGUCUGACGGAGCAACGCCGCGUGAGCGAUGAAGGCCUUCGGGUCGUAAAGCUCUGUUGUUAGGGAAGAACAAGUAUCGGAGUAACUGCCGGUACCUUGACGGUACCUAACCAGAAAGCCACGGCUAACUACGUGCCAGCAGCCGCGGUAAUACGUAGGUGGCAAGCGUUGUCCGGAAUUAUUGGGCGUAAAGCGCGCGCAGGCGGUCCUUUAAGUCUGAUGUGAAAGCCCACGGCUCAACCGUGGAGGGUCAUUGGAAACUGGGGGACUUGAGGCAGAAGAGGAGAGUGGAAUUCCACGUGUAGCGGUGAAAUGCGUAGAGAUGUGGAGGAACACCAGUGGCGAAGGCGACUCUCUGGUCUGUAACUGACGCUGAGGCGCGAAAGCGUG